GGGGAUAGUGACACUUUGGUCACUGAAGAGGAUAUUUCCUUUACUGAAAGCAGACUGCCGCGAGUUGUUGGAAAGGUUCGGGUGCCCUUCACCCACUUCAACCACAUGGAUUUCAUGGUUGGAUCCGAUGCCAAAGACUUAGUGUAUAAAGAGUUGAUUUAUUUGAUGAAUAAACACAGGUAGCAAACAUUC
rnacentral:lncRNA from 1 species